rnacentral:rRNA from 1 species
GGACCCGCACAAGCAGUGGAGUAUGUGGUUUAAUUCGAAGCAACGCGAAGAACCUUACCAGGGCUUGACAUCCGACUAACGAAGUAGAGAUACAUUAGGUGCCCUUCGGGGAAAGUCGAGACAGGUGGUGCAUGGUUGUCGUCAGCUCGUGUCGUGAGAUGUUGGGUUAAGUCCCGCAACGAGCGCAACCCUUAUCGUUAGUUGAUACAGUUCGGCUGAUCACUCUGGCGAGACUGCCGUUGACAAAACGGAGGAAGGUGGGGAUGACGUCAAAUCAUCAUGCCCCUUAUGUCCUGGGCUACACACGUACUACAAUGGCGAAGAACAGAGGGAAGCGAAGUGGCGACACGGAGCAAAACCCUAAAGUCGUCUCAGUUCAGAUUGCAGGCUGCAACUCGCCUGCAUGAAGGCGGAAUUGCUAGUAAUCGCGGAUCAGCAUGCCG